rnacentral:rRNA from 1 species
AACGCGAAGAACCUUACCAGCUUUUGACAUGCCCUGGACGGAUACCAGAGAUGGUUUCUUCUCUUCGGAGCCGGGGACACAGGUGCUGCAUGGCUGUCGUCAGCUCGUGUCGUGAGAUGUUGGGUUAAGUCCCGCAACGAGCGCAACCCUCGCCCUUAGUUGCCAUCAUUUAGUUGGGCACUCUAGGGGGACUGCCGGUGAUAAGCCGCGAGGAAGGUGGGGAUGACGUCAAGUCCUCAUGGCCCUUACAGGCUGGGCUACACACGUGCUACAAUGGCGGUGACAAUGGGAUGCGAUGCCGCAAGGCCGAGCAAAUCUCAAAAAGCCGUCUCAGUUCGGAUUGCACUCUGCAACUCGAGUGCAUGAAGGUGGAAUCGCUAGUAAUCGUAGAUCAGCAUGCUACGGUGAAUACGUUCCCGGGCCUUGUACACACCGAGACGAC